CAUACAUCAUGAAAAAUCAAAUCGAAUGACCAUCAAUGUGAAAUCCAAUUGUUCAUCUAAAAUCGGAAUAUCAUACAAAUGUCUAUCCAAUGUUCAUUUUUGUCUCUUGUGUUUCUUCUUCUUUUCUUAGCUAUUUUUUUUUCUUCUAAUACAAAGAUUUCAAUUUGUAUGCAUAUAUACUAUACUUGAUCAUCAACAUAAUCAUCAUCACCAUCAUCAUCGGAUAAAUCGCAUAAAAUCUUUACGAACUUAUCAACAACAUCGUCACCAUGAGAAUAUAAUCUUUAACGGUUCAUCAUCAUCAUCAUCAUCAUUAUCAAUGGGCUAAUAAUGAAUCCGUUUAAAGUUCUAUUAUUAUUAUCAACGAGAUGUAAAAAAAAACUUGAAACCGAAUGAAAUAAAACGUUUUUUUUUGCUUUA